rnacentral:rRNA from 1 species
AGCUCCAAUAGCGUAUAUUAAAGUUGUUGCGGUUAAAAAGCUCGUAGUUGGAUCUCGGCGAGUAGGGGGCGGUUCGUUGUUUGACGGUACUGCCCCAUUUACUCGUGUUUUUGACAGAGGGUUGGAGGUCCCCUUCAUUGGGUGUCUUCGGUCACUGUCAGGUUUACUUUGAAAAAAUUAGAGUGCUCAAAGCAGACGUUAUUCGUCUGAAUAUUCGUGCAUGGAAUAAUAGAAUAGGAUGAGUCUCCUAUUUUGUUGGUUUUCGGGAAGAUUCAUAAUGAUUAAUAGGGACAAUCGGGGGCAUUAGUAUUCAAACGACAGAGGUGAAAUUCUUGGACCGUUUGAAGACUAACUACUGCGAAAGCAUUUGCCAAGAGUGUUUUCA